GAAGUAUCGAUAACGCUGUUCAGGCGGAGUUAUCAAACCGCCCAGUGCUGCAAAAGCCGCAAGGCUGCUGUGGUGAACGAACUGGGAAAAGGCGGAACAACCGUCAGGU
rnacentral:ncRNA from 1 species